rnacentral:rRNA from 1 species
CAGUAGCCGCGGUAACACGUAGGUGGCAAGCGUUGUCCGGAAUUAUUGGGCGUAAAGGGCUCGCAGGCGGUUUCUUAAGUCUGAUGUGAUAGCCCCCGGCUCAACCGGGGAGGGUUAUUGGAAACUGGGAAACUUGAGUGCAGAAGAGGAGAGUGGAAUUCCACGUGUAGCGGUGAAAUGCGUAGAGAUGUGGAGGAACACUAGUGGCGAAGGCGACUCUCUGGUCUGUAACUGACGCUGAGGAGCGAAAGCGUGGGGAGCGAACAGGAUUAGAUACCCCUGUAGUCCCUGUCUCUUAUAC